GUCCGUCUCUCAAGGGGUUGAAAAUAGCGAUGCACGCGAGCGGUCAAAAAAGGCGCGAAAAAAUGAGAGAAAAGUAGGGAGAGACGGACUUGGAUACCCUGCAAGCGCGCCAAAUUCUACCGUCGGAUUUUUCCUACGGAGGCGUGGCCUACCAAUUGAGAACAACAACAAAUUUUCGCGCCAAUUUUUGCAAGUAACAUUCGAAAUGCUGCGAAUGUCCCAAGUCCGUCUCUCCCUACUUUUCUCCUGAGACGGACUUGAACCAAGUCUA